CCUACGGGUGGCAGCAGUCGAGAAUCAUUCACAAUGGGGGAAACCCUGAUGGUGCGACGCCGCGUGGGGGAAUGAAGGUCUUCGGAUUGUAAACCCCUGUCAUGUGGGAGCAAAUUAAAAAGAUAGUACCCCAAGAGGAAGAGACUGCUAACUCUGUGCCAGCAGCCGCGGUAAUACAGAGGUCUCAAGCGAUGUUCGGAAUCACUGGGCGUAAAGCGGGCGUAGGCUGUUUCGUAAGUCGUGUGUGAAAGGCGCGGGCUCAACCCGCGGACGGCACAUGAUACUGCGAGACUAGAGUAAUGGAGGGGGAACCGGAAUUCUCGGUGUAGCAGUGAAAUGCGUAGAUAUCGAGAGGAACACUCGUGGCGAAGGCGGGUUCCUGGACAUUAACUGACGCUGAGGCACGAAGGCCAGGGGAGCGAAAGGGAUUAGAUACCCCGGUAGUC
rnacentral:rRNA from 1 species